rnacentral:sRNA from 1 species
GCUGGGUGUGGUGGCACAUGCCUGUAAUCCCAGCAGCUCAGGAGGCUGAGGUAGGAGGAUUGCAAGUUAAAAGCCAGCCUCAGCAACUUAGCAAGGCCCAUAGCAACUUAGUGAGAUCCUGUCUCAC